AACCAGCACCUCAAGUGGUCAGGAUGAUUAUUGGGCCUAAAGCAUCCGUAGCCGGCUCUGUAAGUUUUCGAUUAAAUCUAUACGCUCAACGUAUGGGCUGCCGAAAAUACUGUAGAGAUAGGGAGUGGGAGAGGUAGACGGUACUCGGUAGGAAGGGGUAAAAUCCUUUGAUCUAUCGAUGACCACCUGUGGCGAAGGCGCUCUGCUGGGCCAUCACUGACGCUCAUGGACGAAAGCCAGGGGAGCGAAAGGG
rnacentral:rRNA from 1 species